CGGGGUGGAGUAAUGUCUGGGAAACUGCCUGAUGAGGGGGAGUAACUACUGGAAACGGUAGCUAAUACCGCAUAACGUCGCAAGACCAAAGUGGGGGACCUUCGGGCCUCAUGCCAUCAGAUGUGCCCAGAUGGGAUUAGCUAGUAGGUGGGGUAACGGCCCACCUAGGCGACGAUCCCUAGCUGGUCUGAGAGGAUGACCAGCCACACUGGAACUGAGACACGGUCCAG
rnacentral:rRNA from 1 species